AGGGUGUAAACGCUGCGGACUUGGUGUUGGAAGUCCUUUGGGGGCAUUCAGUGCCGGAGAGAAGUUGUUAAGUCUGCUACUUGGGGAGUACGUCCGCAAGGAUGAAACUUAAAGGAAUUGGCGGGGGAGCACCGCAACGGGAGGAGCGUGCGGUUUAAUUGGAUUCAACACCGUAAAACUCACCAGGGAAGACUGUUACAUGAAGGCCGAGAUGAAGACUCUGCUAGAUUUUCAGAGAGGAGGUGCAUGGCGUCAGUGACU
rnacentral:rRNA from 1 species